GCCGGGCGUGGUGGUGCAUGCCUGUAAUCCCAGAUACUUGGGAGGCUGAGACAGGAGAAUCACUUGAAUCCGGGAGGCAGAGGUUGCAGUGAGCCGAGAUUGCGCCACUGCACUCCAGUCUGGGUGACAGAGUGAGACUCCGUCUCAA
ensembl:misc_RNA Metazoa_SRP Metazoan signal recognition particle RNA